UACAGAGGUCCCAAGCGUUGUUCGGAUUCAUUGGGCGUAAAGGGUGUGUAGGUGGCGCCGUAAGUCGGGUGUGAAAUCUCGGGGCUUAACUCCGAAACUGCAUUCGAUACUGCGGUGCUUGAGGACUGGAGAGGAGACUGGAAUUCAUGGUGUAGCAGUGAAAUGCGUAGAGAUCAUGAGGAAGACCAGUGGCGAAGGCGGGUCUCUGGACAGUUCCUGACGCUGAGGCGCGAAGGCCAGGGGAGCAAACGGG
rnacentral:rRNA from 1 species